rnacentral:rRNA from 1 species
AGUGAACGCUGGCGGUAGGCCUAACACAUGCAAGUCGAACGGCAGCACAGUAAGAGCUUGCCCUUACGGGUGGCGAGUGGCGGACGAGUGAGGAAUACAUCGGAAUCUACUUUUUCGUGGGGGAUAACGUAGGGAAACUUACGCUAAUACCGCAUACGACCUACGGGUGAAAGCAGGGGAUCUUCGGACCUUGCGCGAUUGAAUGAGCCGAUGUCGGAUUAGCUAGUUGGCGGGGUAAAGGCCCACCAAGGCGACGAUCCGUAGCUGGUCUGAGAGGAUGAUCAGCCACACUGGAACUGAGACACGGUCCAGACUCCUACGGGAGGCAGCAGUGGGGAAUAUUGGACAAUGGGCGCAAGCCUGAUCCAGCCAUACCGCGUGGGUGAAGAAGGCCUUCGGGUUGUAAAGCCCUUUUGUUGGGAAAGAAAAGCAGCAGGUUAAUACCCCGCUGUUCUGACGGUACCCAAAGAAUAAGCACCGGCUAACUUCGUG